rnacentral:rRNA from 1 species
UACGGGGGGGGCAAGCGUUGUUCGGAAUUACUGGGCGUAAAGGGCUCGUAGGUGGCCAACUAAGUCAGACGUGAAAUCCCUCGGCUUAACCGGGGAACUGCGUCUGAUACUGGAUGGCUUGAGUUCGGGAGAGGGAUGCGGAAUUCCAGGUGUAGCGGUGAAAUGCGUAGAUAUCUGGAGGAACACCGGAGGCGAAGGCGGCAUCCUGGACCGACACUGACACUGAGGAGCGAAAGCCAGGGGAGCAAACGGG